ACAUGGAGACCAGGCAUGACAACAAUCAACGAGUCCUUCGGUGAAGACCUGAAGACGCUUUCGGGCAGCCGCUGGGAAGAUGGCAUCGCCUAGCUGGCUCAUUCUGGUACUUCCUCCCCAACAGACCACGACACUUGGAGAUGUUAAAGCUGUCAACUUUUCUUUGUAAAUGUUUCUACCCAGGAAGACAGAAUUUCACCCACUGCGAAGCCUUCUGAGCGCAUUCCUCCAAAGCAGCAGAAGCGGGAGAAAGCUCACUUCCGGCAUGGAUGGAAGACUCUCUCAACAUGACAGUCCACGCAGAGGAGAAGAGCUAUACUUGGGAAAGGGAGGCCAUAAGGCGGGACCCAUGUCAACGUGGAGCAGGGAGCCGGAUAUGCGUUCCUGGUGCAUUUGAAACGAGUCUUCUUGAUGCUCCUAUAUGCCAUUUCUGAGAGUGUUUCCAGCACCACCUACCCUUGCUCACUCCCUCCUCCGUGUGGCACCCACUCCGUGCCAGGUGCCUCGGGGGACACACUAGGGACUACAACACAAUACCAAACGGUGCUGCUCUCUUGAAGCUUGGAUUCCAGAGGGGGAAGAAGACAGCAAGUAAGUACGUAAGUGAAGAAAUAAAUAAGCAAGGUCAUAAGACCGUAAUGUCUGCCAUGAAGGAAGUUAACGAGUACAGAGUUCAAAAACAGGAACUUUCCACUGUUUAAAGAAUAAAUGGGUUGGAAGGUCUGUUAUGAGCCAAUGCCACAGUCUGGGUCUAAAGUGACCAGGUGGCAGCAGCAGAAAUGGAGGAGGAAGGGCAGCUUCAGGAUGUAUUUUGGAGGACCAACUGGUCCUGGCAAUGGAUUAGAAGUGGCAGGUGAAGAAGAAAGAAGAAUGCUUUGGUUUGUGCAACUAAUUGUACUGAAGAUUGAGAGGGGGGAAAUUGCACAAAUAACCUUUGAUCUGUCUGUGAAUUAAGAACAGCUGAUCACGGUACUUGAAUGACCUUGCUGGCCACCUGCUACCUCUCUUCCUUCUGCUGUAGACCCACAGACCCCCACCUUUAGAGCAAAAGCUCAGUAAUGUAGAAAGGCAGAUCUACAGUGGGCUGGCUUUUGAGGCUUAGCAUCAACUGAUUCCUCUACAGCAGGGGCUGGUCAGAGUGAAUGGUUUAGUCAUUGAUGGCCACACGGUCUCUGCUGCAACUACUCAACUCCGCUGUUGUCCAACAAAAGCAAUCACAGGCACGAAGGACAGACGUGGCUGGCCUUCCCUAAGACUUGAUUUACAAAAACACAGCCCAUCGCUCACUGCCCGCUGCCCCACAGCUCCUAUACUUGAACCCAGGGUUCAGACUCAAAACUCCUGUAGUUGUGGGAACCAAAAACCAGCAUACGCAGGAAGGGGCCAGUGGCGCAAUGGAUAACACAUCUGACCAGGGUUCAGAAGAUUUUAACCCAGCAUACGCAAAGUUUUCCUGGGAUCUGGAAGGCGGGCUUAAAAACUGUCUGGAAACACCUCCUGCUACAGCCCCCCAGAGCGGGUCCCAGCGCACAAGGAUGCUCCUCCCACCAACCCCACCCCUGCCACUCCUCCUCUACUCUGGAGCUGGCUCCUGUCCAGGCUCUGCGGGGCCAAGCUGGCAUAAAGGAAGGGAAGGGGGGGCUGGAGGAGGGGCUGGCAGGUGCCAACACUCUCCUGGUUGCAGAUUCCCUCCUUCCCCAGAAAACCCAUCCUCGGCCCCUAGACAAGGCCGAAUCCAGACUUGACAGGUCACAAACCCAGCCCAAAUUCCCUGGGCCUAAUCAAAGAACUCCCGUGGGCCCUUGAGUCUCAUUCUGAAGCAGGUCAUUUAACACUUGUUACCAUGACACACCCUGACAUAAAGGCAGGGUCCACUUGUUAGGGCGCAGGACCUCCCGACCCCCAGAGGAAGACAAACAAUAAACAACUCUGAAAGGCUGCAUAAGCUAACCCAAGGGCUACGGACAACAGACGAGAAAGAUGAGCCCUACAGGGGUUGAAGGUGUUCACACCGGGCAUACACGUACUUCAGCCAGCCCCUCCUGCAGAACCGCUCAGUGCCCGGCACACAGGUACCUCCCACCCCACAGAGUCCUAGGUCAGCCCCUCCUGCAGACCCACUCAAUGCCUGGCACACAAGUAGACACACACACACACACACAGUCCUUGGCCAACCCCGCCUGCAGGCACAUUCAGUGCCCACACCCCCUGUGCAGGGCAGCCCCCCAGCUGAACAUGCAGCCUCUUACAGAUGGUUCUCACCUUCCCACCAAGCCCCCCACACAGUCUCGCUCCCUUGCGUUCACACUUCCUGGCCUGUCAAGAUGGUGAAAGGCAAACACGCCCAUGUGCCCAUGAGAGGGGCCAGAAGCAACGCCAGGGCUUCCUGGGGAGCAUUCCAGAAUGCAUCCCACACGUGGCUCUGAAGCAACCAAGCAACUGAACCUACGUGGUUCUUGUCUACACUGCUACCCUGCUGUGUUCCUGGAAAUAAACCACUUGUCCUCUCAGA